AAGACCAUACUUUCAGGGAUCAUUUCUAUCAUUCUUUACUAGAGAGACAGAGACAGAGAAACAAAGGGAAAGAUACUACAGCACUAAAACUUCCUUCUGU
rnacentral:snoRNA from 1 species